rnacentral:lncRNA from 1 species
AAAUAUUCUUUGUGCUUAUUAUGUGUUUGCAGAGGAAGUCUUUAUCUUACAUUAACAAGAAGAUCUCGGAGCAAAACAUCUACUUCAAAGAUCUCUUGGAAGAUGCACUAAAGUUGUUUCACACCAUCAAUCAUUCUUCAUGAGCUAAAGUCACCUUUGAAAAGGUUAUCUGUCUUGUAUGGUCUCAUGCUUUUGUCCAUUUUGGAAAAAGUUCUCUAACCAAAGCAUAAGCCUUGUCAGCUUUUGAGAUGUUGUUUGAAAAGGAGAAUCACAUUUAAAGAUGCACAUCUUGCAUUUAAUGCUUCCAACCUUGAAUGCGAGGUAGACACAAAAUGAAGAAGACUUUUUUAUCGCCUACAACGACUACAAAAGAUGUGCAAUGAUUGUUCUUGUCUCAAACUCCAUAUAUAGAAGAUCUCUUUAAAGAACGAAGGUUGACGAUGGCGAAAGUCUUGUUACAAGAAUAUGCACAAGAUCUUAAGCUUUUAAGCCUUAUAGUUAUGAGAAAGAACAUUGUUUAUGUUCAAGAACAACCUAAAAUAGUGAAACAAUCUUGUAUUUGUCAUAAGACGUAACCUCUCUUUUAGUGAGUGAACUUGUGAUCUUUUAGAUCACAUUCUUUGUAAACUCAACGUCUUAGCUAAGAGUGGUUGUGUUUUAAAUAAUACUUGAUCUUAGCCACGAGUGGUUGCAUUCCAAAUAAUAUUCGAUCUUAGGCAAUAGUGGUUACAUUUUGAAUAAUACUCAAUCUUAG